AAAUUUGAAAAGCCAAUGACCUGAAGAUUUUCUGGUCUUUUCUUACCUGGACACGAAUUAUUAUUUGCUCAGCAGGAAUUAAUAAGAAGCUCACAAAAAUGGUGAAAAAAACUGAAGGUGGCCAAAGAAAAGAAAAGUUUAAGGAGCCAAAAAAAGUAAAGGUAACAUUGGGUUAACCUCUUUGUCAGUCACUAACUCUUCUUGGUGAGCUCACGGGUUAAGUUUGGUUUAGUCUCACGGGUUAACCUCUUUGUCUGGUUAAUUGGUACCAUGGUUAAAUCCAUCACCAGUUUUAUCAUCACUUUGACUUUUUAUUCAUCAUAAUCUUUCCUUUCUUAACAACUAAACUCUUUAUCAUCAGCAUUUUGCAAGAACAAUGAAGAGCCAAGACAAAAAAUGAACAGACCAAACUGAGAAACUGGUCAUCAAAGGCUAGGUUAACAGGUUAACACUAUGGAUUAGUUAAUUACUUUACCUGAAAAGCCUUCAUAUUGUGCGAUAAUUAAACCUGUCAACAAUCAGCGUGUGUUCAGUGGAAAUUAAAGAUUAUUUCUGGAUUUUCUCAAAACCAAAUUCAACCCAAAUGUUAACCCAAAGACCAACCAAAUCCACCAGGAAAUCAACAACCGGACAAACCCCAAGACCAGAUUGGCCAAAGGAGCAAAAGAUAAAUCACAAGAGCAACUAAAAUGGCCAAAAGUUUAACCAAAACAGCAAUCAAAUGGAUUCAAAUUGUGGCCCAUCUUGUUCACACAUCUGGGAAUUAGAGUCUAAAUUGUUAGUCAAGUUGAACGGCAAUUUCAUAAUCAACUAUCACUGGAUUGUUACGAAGCAAAAGCACGCUUUACCCAAACACCAACGUACAGAAUCACAAUAAUUGUUUUCACAUCAUUAAUCUUCAAUUCUGUCUCCCUUUGAGCCCGAUAAACGGAUCCUUUCCUGAACUGAUACUAACCAUGUUAGUUUGUGUUAAAUCAAUUACAUUGCUACAUUAAUGACUUCUAAAUCACGUUAAAUAAUUUAAAGUGAACAAUAUCAUGAAUGGUAAAUUUUCAUAAUGAUAAAUCUAAAAGGUGAGCUUCUCUUGAACAAUGAAUAACCAUUAAUCUAUGAAUUUAAUUUACAGUAUACUUUUAGAUUUCAAAUGUAAUUGUA